rnacentral:rRNA from 1 species
CCUACGGGUGGCAGCAGUGGGGGAUAUUGCACAAUGGGGGGAACCCUGAUGCAGCGACGCCGCGUGGGUGAAGAAGCGCCUCGGCGCGUACAGCCCUGUCAGCAGGGAAGAAAAUGACGGUACCUGAAGCAGAAGCCCCGGCUAACUACGUGCCAGCAGCCGCGGUAAUACGUCGGGGGCAAGCGGUAUCCGGAUUUACUGGGUGUAAAGGGGGCGCAGACGGCGAUGCAAGCCAGGAGUGAAAGCCCGGGGCGCAACCCCGGGACUGCGCUUGGAACUGCGUGGCUGGAGUGCAGGAGGGGCAGGCGGAAGUCCUGGUGUAGCGGUGAAAUGCGUAGAUAUCAGGAGGAACACCGGUGGCGAAGGCGGCCUGCUGGACUGCAACUGACGUUGAGGCCCGAAAGCGUGGGGAGCAAACAGGAUUAGAUACCCCGGUAGUC